UUAUGAUCCCUAUGAAUAUACAGUGUAACAAAACAUCACUUGAUCUGUUUCAGGAGAAGGCUGUCAGCUGGUCCAGCAGGUAUCUCCAGUUCUAUGGGUCAUAAUACUCUACCCACCACCAACUCAUUGCUCACAACCUACAGCACACAGAUUAUGAAUCCCAGGCAUUUCCUGAUCACAAGAGUUUGGAUCAACCCUGGUCUAACAUUCCACAUCUUAUAGUGCAUUCAUCUACCUCUCCUGGACACCUGAAUAGCCAAGCAAGUGCUGGAAAUACACAGACUGGUUUAUCUUUGGCUGAAGCCAUGCCACUGGCAAACCUUAUGGACCAUCCACUUAAAAAGAAACUUCUUAUAAAUUCCGGUUUCAAGAAUAAAGCUGGGAAUGGAAUGAGCACAUUACAUCAACAGGAAAGUAGUAAUUGGAUGUAUCGGAUGGGGCAGAUGGUGUCUGGAGUGUCUAAGCAACUUCCAAGCAUUGACAAAGCUGUCACUACGAUGUCUUUCCUAGCUUUUGGCAUUUUUCAUGGCUAACUUGGUGGUACAAGCCAUAGCUAAUACAACCACCUUGAACUCGCUCCUGGGUCGAGAGGAUGAGAUUAAUUUCAGUGGACUGCAGCUUGACUUUUCUUCCCUUGCAUUUGAAUUUAUGGAUAAUCUUGGCCUUGAAAAAGAUGUUGAUGACAAUCAUAAAAACAACACACUGCUUAAGAAAGUGGCACAGGUCAUCAGUCAGGUCUACAUUAGUCUUCAUGAGAUAGCCAGGUCAGGAAAAAAAAAUUCUGUACUUCAUUUUUGCCAUUAUUGCGUAUUGAUGUAGUUAUAUUUUUACUUGAAAGUAUAAUACUUCAUAUACUCCUGUUGCACAAGUACUUAUUUUGGUGAAAAUUUAUAAUGUAGAAUUUUACAAUUGCAUAUCAGUAGCACCUUCUUUUGGGAAAGUAUAAAAGGUGAAUGAUGACUUUUUUUUAACACAGCUGUAUUCUACUGUAUAAUCAAAGGGAAACGCUAAACUCGUAAGGGUCAUAACCUAAAUUAAAAUUCUUUAGAAAAGUACACAAAUGAAGUAUAAA